GGCUCAGGACGAACGCUGGCGGCGUGCUUAACACAUGCAAGUCGAACGGAAAGGCCCUUUCGGGGGUACUCGAGUGGCGAACGGGUGAGUAACACGUGGGUGAUCUGCCCUGCACUUCGGGAUAAGCUUGGGAAACUGGGUCUAAUACCGGAUAGGACUACGGGCUGCAUGGUCUGUGGUGGAAAGCUUUUGCGGUGUGGGAUGGGCCCGCGGCCUAUCAGCUUGUUGGUGGGGUGAUGGCCUACCAAGGCGACGACGGGUAGCCGGCCUGAGAGGGUGUCCGGCCACACUGGGACUGAGAUACGGCCCAGACUCCUACGGGAGGCAGCAGUGGGGAAUAUUGCACAAUGGGCGCAAGCCUGAUGCAGCGACGCCGCGUGGGGGAUGACGGCCUUCGGGUUGUAAACCUCUUUCACCAUCGGCGAAGCCGGUAGCUUUUGUUGCCGGUGACGGUAGGUGGAGAAGAAGCACCGGCCAACUACGUGCCAGCAGCCGCGGUAAUACGUAGGGUGCGAGCGUUGUCCGGAAUUACUGGGCGUAAAGAGCUCGUAGGUGGUUUGUCGCGUUGUCCGUGAAAUUCCCUGGCUUAACUGGGGGCGUGCGGGCGAUACGGGCAGACUGGAGUACUGCAGGGGAGACUGGAAUUCCUGGUGUAGCGGUGGAAUGCGCAGAUAUCAGGAGGAACACCGGUGGCGAAGGCGGGUCUCUGGGCAGUAACUGAC
rnacentral:rRNA from 1 species